ACUUGACACGAAUUUGGACCCAUUUGGUGUCUUUUUUGUGCUUUCUCGACUUCUGUUUAGAUUCUAGAGGGUUUCUUCAGUUCUUUCUCAGUUGCAAUCUUGGGUUUUAACCCUCCCCUUAUUGAAGGGGUUUUAGUGCACACGCUAACAGAUGACAUUGAUCUUUGAUACCAGUAGAAAUCUGCAUAAUAUCAUACUAUUAUUUUCGCCUAUUGCUCACCUGUAUGGUUGCUUUGCCUCUGCCUAUGGUGUAUUGGUGUGUGUCAUUAUUCCUGUAGUGGAAACCGAGCCAUAUGAAUUAAAUUCCUGCGUAUUUUUGCUGCUUUUGGAUUUGUGGCCUAAAGGAUGAUGACAGGGCUGUGUUUUACUUUAAUCUUUGGUGCUUAGGCUUCUCCUGACAUGUCUGACAAUGAACGGAAAUUUUUAGUAACACUGUCAUACUCUUUUUCCUAUGGAUUGUAUCUAUGGAGUAGCUUUUGAAAUGGUUAAAGAGAUUGAGUUUCUCCACUCCUAUUUUUUGAGGGUUCUACUGUUGAAGGGGCGACAUACAAUUGUGAAGUUUUGGCACAUAUUCUGCAAGGCACUGCAUUAGUCCUUGCCACUCUAGCCAACCAACACUAAGUAGUGAAUGACCGCACCACUACAUGCUAAUUUGGAAUAAUAACUAGGUGUUCCCUCUGAAUGUUUUGAUUUGUGUAGAAGUCUGAUGACUUUGCCAAAACUAUGUGGUGGAUCAUCACUAUGUGAAACGUUGCCUUCGUAUAAGAGUUGGAAAAUAAUUAAUUAGCUUCCUUAUCUUGCCUACCAGGCUAUGUAAAUAUUAAGUAUGGUGUUGCCAAUUGCUCUCUUUCUGAGCAGCAGGAUAAUUUUUGUGGCACCUCUCUGCUAGCCAUGGUUACUGUUGCUAAAACAUAUUACUUUACUCAGACAGUUAGCGACAAGACCAGUGACAAAAAGGAUGAACAGAAUUCAGGGGACAUCCAGCUCAGGGAUGCGAAGAGAGGCGAGUGGGUGAGGUGACGGUGGAAAGCAAGGAGACCUCCUGCGCCUCAAUGGCUUUGACGUGGCUCGCCUGCUAUCCCAUGUUGUCAUCUUCUCCCAUCAUGACCUCCCGCGUCUGCAUAGGCGAUGCCAACAGUUGCUAUGGUGCUUCUGAUGCCGAGCAUUGAGGCUUACCAUCUGAAGCGCUGGUCUGUUGAGAAGAAGCCGUACCGCCCAAGGAGAUGCAGUGUAAGCCCCAUGGCAUCAAGCCCUUCAUCGUCCUCCCAAGCUGACCAAUGAAGAAUCGUGCGGAGACAAAAGGUUGAUCAAGUUGGAAAAAAUCCCUUCAGAAAGUGUCUUAAAAUUGUUUAAUUUGGAGUAGUGUUGUAGAUAUGUACUGCAGUGUUCUAUUUGUAUAGCACUUGACAAUGGAUGCAUUUUUAUGGAUUACAUGCUACUGUACGUGUUGUGGAUUGCCUGGAUAUCUGUUGAUGAGGUUUGGUCAAUCAGCUCAAGAAUUUGGUAGUGCCUUCUGUGAUGGUGCUUUUCUUCAAUUAUCAUAGAUCCGAUCAUACAGUGGGUCUGCUGAUAAUUUCUUACAGGUGAAACAGUUACAUCGCAGUUGUAGUUUUUUCUUGCUAGCAUUUUGAAAACUAGUUUACAUUUGCGUUGUAUUAAACUCAGAAACCGAAUAUUGUGCAAGGAAAUGACUAUAUAUGGAUUCGUUCUGCGAAUAAAAGAGCUUCCUUCCGCCA